AUCGCUUCUCGGCCUUUUGGCUAAGAUCAAGUGUAGUAUAUGCAAGUAUACUUUUCUAAGGUAGGAACUUCAUGAUCAUGGAAAUAUGGGGAUUUAUUUAUUUUAUUUUUUUAAUAUAUUUUCUAUUGAUUUCAGAGAGGAAGGGAGAGAGAGAAACAUCAAUGAUGAGAGAGAAUCAUUGAUUGGCUGCCUCC
rnacentral:snRNA from 1 species